UACGUAGGUGGCAAGCGUUGUCCGGAUUUACUGGGCGUAAAGAGCGCGCAGGCGGUCGUACAAGUCGCGUGUGAAAGCCCCCGGCUCAACUGGGGAGGGUCACGCGAUACUGUUCGACUCGAAGGCAGGAGAGGGAAGCAGAAUUCCCGGUGUAGUGGUGAAAUGCGUAGAUAGUCGGGAGGAAUACCAGUGGCGAAGGCGGCUUCCUGGCCUGUUCUUGACGCUGAGGCGCGAAAGCUAGGGUAGCAAACGGG
rnacentral:rRNA from 1 species